rnacentral:sRNA from 1 species
CGCCCGUCAAACCAUGGGAGCUGGUAAUGCCCGAAGUCGGUUUAUAAACAAACUGCCUAAGGCAGGACUGGUGACUGGGGUUAAGUCGUAACAAGGUAUCCCUACGAGAACGUGGGGAUGGAUUACCUCCUUUCUACGGAGUACAAAAGUCAAUCAAGUAUUGACACUUUAACCUUAUAUUCAGACCUACUUAAUUUUUUUAGCAGUCAUGGCUUGUUAGGUCGCAAGCAUAUAUCUAGUUUUGAGGGGACAAUUCCUCUCAAAAUUGUUCUUUGAAAACUGAAUAGUUAAUAUUUUAAAAUAUUACAACGACAUCAAAAAUGAAUAAAUUUUGGUUUAUUCGUAUUGAUUCAUCGAGUAGUCAUAUUUAAAUAUAUGAUUCAUUGAAAUGUCUUAAAAUACACAUCAUAACAACAAUAGGAAAUCUUAAUUGAAUAAAUUAAGGACAUACUUUUAAAUAAGUAAGAGUUUGUGGUGGAUGCCUUGGGUCUGAAAGUCGAUGAAGGACGUGAUUACCUGCGAUAAGCCUCGUGGAGCUGGAUAUAAGCUACGAAGCGGGGAUUUCCGAAUGGGGGAACCUAACUAGGGUAAUGCCUAGUUGCCUUCUUCUGAAUACAUAGGAAGUCGAGCGAGACACCAUGCGAACUGAAACAUCUUAGUAGCAUGAGGAAAAGAAAAUAAAUAAUGAUUUCUUUAGUAGCGGCGAGCGAACGAGAAAGAGCCCAAACCACUUUAAGUGGGGUUGUAGGACGAUCUACAUAGAGUUACAAAAUUUAAUGAUAGCAGAAACGUUUGGGAAAACGUAGCACAGAGGGUGAUACUCCCGUAAGCGAAAUCGUUAAAUCUCUUGAUCGUAUCCUGAGUAGGGCGGGGCACGUGAAACCCUGUCUGAAUCUGCCGGGAGCACCCGGUAAGGCUAAAUACUAAUCAGACACCGAUAGUGAACUG